GUGGGUAUAGCUCAGUGGUAGAGCACAAGUGAGGUCCUGGGCUCAAUCCCCAGUACUUUCA
rnacentral:tRNA from 1 species